rnacentral:tRNA from 1 species
UAGUAAGAAGCAAAUUUUGCGUUUAGUUUCGACCUAAAAUUUUAGUUUUUUACUCUGCUAU